GCCGCCAUUGUCACCCACAGCCGACUGGAACAGUGUGUCCACCCCGCCGAGCCUAGUUCUUCCUCUGUGUGCCACUGCCAAGAGCGAGCAGUAUCGAGUCAUGCCCUAGACUUGGUUCACCGCCGCUCUAGCGAGUUGGUCUUCAACCAAAGGCAAAACUCCAAGCUCUAGUGGCUUCACCGUGACCUAUACCUCACCAUCGGAUCUUCCUGCUUCACCACUAGCUGUCGGCAGAGAGAAAACAAGAAGGUAUCGGAAUCAGUAUAGCUCCGGCCAAGAAUUUACGACAGUAGGUAUUUUCAGCUAGCAAUUUCCAGCAGCAACCUCCCUGCUGUGUGGAUUGAGCAAUUUAUCUUUGCUGGCUGUAAACAAUCCUAAUUGGGUAACAACUUUGUGACUUCCAGCAGCGGUUGAAUUGAGG